UCCCUGGUGGCGCAGAUGGUAAAGCGUCUGUCUACAAUGCAGGAGACCCAGGUUCAAUCCCUGGGUUGGGAA
rnacentral:tRNA from 1 species